rnacentral:tRNA from 1 species
CAGGACGUAAUUCAAAUAGUAGAAUAGUUCCCUUACACUGAGACAGCACCCGUGCAAAUCGAGUCGCCCUGA